rnacentral:rRNA from 1 species
CCUACGGGAGGCAGCAGUGAGGAAUAUUGGUCAAUGGACGAGAGUCUGAACCAGCCAAGUAGCGUGAAGGAUGACUGCCCUAUGGGUUGUAAACUUCUUUUAUAUGGGAAUAAAAUGUUCCACGUGUGGGAUUUUGUAUGUACCAUAUGAAUAAGGAUCGGCUAACUCCGUGCCAGCAGCCGCGGUAAUACGGAGGAUCCGAGCGUUAUCCGGAUUUAUUGGGUUUAAAGGGAGCGUAGGUGGAUUGUUAAGUCAGUUGUGAAAGUUUGCGGCUCAACCGUAAAAUUGCAGUUGAGACUGGCAGUCUUGAGUACAGUAGAGGUGGGCGGAAUUCGUGGUGUAGCGGUGAAAUGCUUAGAUAUCACGAAGAACUCCGAUUGCGAAGGCAGUUCACUGGACUGCAACUGACACUGAGGCUCGAAAGUGUGGGUAUCAAACAGGAUUAGAUACCCCUGUAGUC